rnacentral:rRNA from 1 species
AUUGAACGCUGGCGGCAUGCCUUACACAUGCAAGUCGAACGGUCACAGGUCUUCGGUUGCUGUCGAGUGGCGAACGGGUGCGUAAUACAUCGGCACGUGCCCGCUCGUGGGGGAAAAGGAGUCGCAUGCUUUGCUCAUACCGCAUACGAUCUAAGAUAUUAAACGGGGGGUUUUCGGACUUAGCGCGGGCUGUGCGGUCGAUGGUAGAUUAGCUAGUUGGUGGGGUAAAAGCUUACAAAGUCAACGAUGAGUAGCUGACAUGAGAGGAUGAUAGGCAACAAUGGAACUGAGACACGGUCCAGACUCCUACGGGAGGCAGCAGUAGGGAAUCUUACGCAAUGGGCGAAAGCCUGACGGAGCAACGCCGCGUGAGUGAUGAAGGUCUUCGGAUCGUAAAACUCUGUUAUUAGGGAAGAACAAAUGUGUAAGUAACUAUGCACGUCUUGACGGUACCUAAUCAGAAAGCCACGGCUAACUACGUG